rnacentral:rRNA from 1 species
UACGUAGGGUACAAGCAUUAAUCGGAAUUAUUGGGCGUAAAGGGCGCGUAGGCGGGGAUUUAAGUCAGGGGUGAAAUCCCAAAGCUCAACUUUGGUGCUGCAUUUGAAACUGCAUUUCUUGAGGACUGACGGAGAAAGCGGAAUUCCAUGAGUAGCGGUGAAAUGCGUAGAUACAUGGAGGAACACCGGUGGCGAAAGCGGCUUUCUAGUUUUUACCUGACGCUGAGGCGCGAGAGCAAGGGGAGCAAACAGG